AGAAGCAGAUCAGAAAUCGAACACGUUUGCUUUUGCGAUUCGAGAGCCCUUUCUGGCGCGGAGCUAGGGGCGGUGUUACGGAGCUGCCCUGAACUGAGAGCAGCGUUGGCGGGGGGCUAGGGAGCCGGGCUGUUCCACGCUCACUGCGCGCCUCGGGCGGCGGGGCUCGGGCUCUGUCCGAGGUGCUGAACUCCGGGGCUCCGGCCGCGCCGGCAGAGUGUGCCAGCGUCCAUUAUUGCCAGUGUCUGUGGGCAUCUUCCAGAAGGCCGAGCAUGGGGGUCAGGUGAAACCAGGGCGCUCCCAAGCACCUUGCCCAGUAGAGCCCCCUUGCACCCCGCUUGGUUGGUCAGCACCCCAUGGACAUGCAGCCUUGACCUUGGCAUGGGGAGCUUCCACUGUGUCAAGCCCAACAUCCAGGCCUCAGAAGACAGUCAUUCAGUCUAGAAGCUGAGAUUCUUGAGUAUGACUGUUCCCCGGGGCAAGGGUAUCUCAACUUUGGCACUACUGACAUCUCCAUGUUUCCCAGGAGAGAAUCCACUUUUUGUUUUAUCUGGGUCAACUCCUU
rnacentral:lncRNA from 1 species